GCUGCGCUGCGGGUCCACAGUGUGGCUUUCGGCCCGUGCUGCGCUGGUACUUGCACUUCCUCUGGCGGGGCACGGGGUGGCGCUCCCGGGUAAGGCAGCGACCGGCGGAGCCUUGAGCGAGGCGCUGCCUCUCCGGCUGAAGCUGGAUCCAAGGCCACCGUGAGGGGGACCCGCCAUCCAGGAGAGUUCUGCGCAGGCUGCAAAUGUCUGCGUUAAAACAGCUCUGCUGGGCUAAGACAGGACAGAAGCAGACAGCAGGUGGAGGAGACACACUUUCCUAUCCAGCAGAACCUGCGGCAAGCUCCACAGCGCCCUCCAGUCUUGCUUCCGGGAAGGUGGUUAAUUCCAUCUGCUCCUUCUGGCCAGCAGCAGGAAGAGUGGGCUUGUGUGUGCCAGGCCCUGCAGUCUCUCCUCUCACCUGGUGUCUCCAGUGAGGGGCCUGAGUCACCGCACACCAUGAGCUUGUGCUCAGCCUGCACAUCUCCCAUCUCCCACCAGCUGCUCCUCAACUGGCAGGGCCAGAUUCUAGCAAAAUCUAGCAAAAUCUCACUCCUGUGCAAAUGCUUGGGUUUCCCUGGUGUCUGGGGGUGGUGUGCUUGGUGGCCUGAGCACUGCGGUGAAUCCAUGUUUCCCUCCCAGCACACUGUUCUGUCCUCCAACUUGGCGGACAGCUCCGGCCAGGGACGUAGCCCAGCCGAUGCCCACCCUGCGCUCUGUCCAUUUCAUAAGAGCCCCCGGUUUCCUCACUUCCCUCAGAUUUUGACAAGAGAACGGUCCCAGUGUGGCCCAGAAAGGCCAGCAGGGUGCAGCCUGGGACUGACAGCAGAGGCGGCUCUGGUGGGGAGAAAGUAGCUCUCCCAGCCUAGCCCCACUGGUGGGCGGCACCUCCUGGCUUCAGGCCAUCUUUUGUCCCAGUCCCAGGUAAGAAAAACACAAACAAAAGCCAGCGUCACGGCGCUCGAGAAGCAGGCGGCCAUUCACUGACAGCAACACACUGUGUGCACAGACACACGCGUGGACAGGAGGUAGAGCUUGGGGUUGCUGUGCAGUGGACAGGACACUGGAGCGGCAGGCGGUGCGGACCCGCUGGGCAGCCAAGCGUGGUUGUCGUCCUGAGCAGCAGGAGCCAGUUUGUUGCUCAGGGCCUUGUCUUUUUUACGAAGAGCCCCAGGCCACGGGGGCUUCUCUGGGUGCCUCUUUGCUGCCACGUCUGCACGCGGACAGAGAGCAGACCCGGCCACCGACUCACUUGCUUUGCUGUCUUCAGAUGGAAAAGCCACUGUCAUAGCCCCAAAGGAGGGGAAACUG